GUCCUCGUCAGAUUGGCUUGAACUGUCCUCGUCGGGUUCGCUUGAAUUGUCCUCGCCGGGUUGGCUUCCAUCUCCCUCGUCG